rnacentral:rRNA from 1 species
UGGGCAAUCUGCCCCUCUCUCUGGGAUAACCCCGGGAAACCGGAGCUAAUACCGGAUACUCCGGCUGGAUCGCAUGGUCCGGCCGGGAAAGGUCCGCCGGAGAGGGAUGGGCCCGCGGCCUAUCAGCUUGUGGUGAGGUCACGGCUCACCAAGGCUACGACGGGUAGCUGGUCUGAGAGGACGACCAGCCACACUGGAACUGAGAUACGGUCCAGACUCCGUACGGGAGCA